rnacentral:lncRNA from 1 species
AGCGUUUGAAAUCAGUCACUGGCCUGGACUCUAGAUCCGCUCCCAGUGACUCAGGGCUAUACAUAAAUCAAAUGCCAAAAAGGCCAGCUCACCACCCAGAGGUGCAGCUCUCUGGAACACGCAGAACCAGCAGGGCCUUAGAGGCCCGAAAAAGGCUUUAUCCCAGAUUUUCAAAUCCCAGGACAGCCAAGGCUGGGCGAGACAGGGAACAAGGAAACAAGGUCACUGGGCCAGUGGGGAAGUCCAGGCCUCCAGUGACCCCAGAGGGCGCCGGUCACCAAGAAAGGAAGACUCCAUCCCACGCCCACAGAGAGGGGCUGGGCUUAAAGCAAGGACCCACGUGCAGAUUCCUGUGUUGGCCCCUCUGGAAACAUGUACAUCAACAGCUGCUAUAUUCUGAGUACCUACUACUAUGUGCAGAGCAUCUACUGUGUGAGCCGCUCACUUGCUGAGUGAACCAGGCCCUGAGCUCCAAAGUGAAAAGGUGACGAGAGGUGCUAGCCUGAAUGAAGACCAAGAACAGCACCCCGGCUUUAUUUCUACCCAAGCUCCUGAGCCAGCGAGGAGGAAUCAAGGGAGGUAGUCAGUGUAUCGCAAACAACUCGGGCCUGCCAGCGAUGAAAAUUAAUGGGAAGCCAGGAGCCAACGUGAUUUCUGAGCUAUUCCUGAUGAACCAUCUGUUUCUUUAUGAGGCCGAUGAGAGGGGUCUGGGGAACGGGUGAUAAGGAGAAAAGCCCCCAACACUCAUUCUUGCCGGGAACGCACACCGUCCUCAUUGUGAGCCAUUGUUCCAAAGGCACCGAGUCUCAAGAACGUGAACUUCCGAAAUUGCCAACGAGCUUUAAUCCACAGUGAACGAGCAGGAAGAGAACUUUCUGAAGGAAACUUCUCCAAACCCAAUGACCUGUUCCUCGGAGUUUUUUGUUUUUUCAAUGUUCCUUUCAACGGUGCACAUUAUAUAAACGCAUUCUGGAUAUUCUCACACUUGGAGUUUUUGUGCCUUUAGUUGUUUUUAAAAAAACAGCCUUUUUAAAAAAAAAUCAGCCUUUUCCUGUAGGUUUUUAUACAAUUCUAGACAAGGUAUAUGCUGCGAUCCAAAAACGCCUCCUCUCCCCCAGCCCCCAGCAAAGCCACCUUUCUCUGCCACAGACCCAGUGGACUCCAGUUUGUCGCCACCCACCACCAAAG